CAGAGGCAUUUCUCUGUGGUCUGGUGGCCGCCCUGAGCUGCGGCUGCAGACUCCUGGGCCCAGUGAAGGGAGGGCCGCCCUGCGGGGGUGGGGGGGGGCAUGCUUCCUCUCCCCAGAUUCUGAGACAGAGGCUGAGGCCGCCCUCACCCUUCCCUGCGGUGUACCUGGGGUUCUUCGUCCUCAGGUUAGAUUUCAGAAUCUGGUGAGAAUUUCCAUCCUGUAGGUGGGGCUCUCUAGGAAUCAUGGACCUUGUUCUGGAAAUCAUCAGCUUUUUCUGUCCAGUGGUUACAGCUGCCUGUGAACAUCUCAGAGAUUUCCAAAAUGGUUGAUUUGCAUGAAACUGGUGGAAACUGGCCCAGGCCGAUGAAAGCCUUACAGACGCCAUCUGUCACCUUCCUGCCUCCGGACUCUCCAUCACAGCCAGUGGCUCUUACCGGGUCUGCUAACAAAUUCCUUGUUUUUGUUUGAGAAAAUACAUUUCACCUUCACUUUCGAGGAAUAAUUUCACUAUAUGUGGAAUACUCCAGCCCUGACUAGUGCAUAGAUCGACUAAUCCUACACCAACGGAAAAGCCACAUGGUGAGUAGAGUUUCUGAGGUGCUUCCAGGUAGGAAGGCUGCUGUGGCCCACAGGACAACGCCUGAGGAGCGGCCAUGUUAAGGGAGCAGUUUACUACACAGCACAGCGUGGGGCCACACUUAAGCCCCCCACUGGGGCUGGGGCAGGAGUGGCUGGGAGACCCUUCAAGCCUCAGACAGGACCGACAUGGGCCUGAGAAAGGCCCCGGGGACAAGCAUGGGAACAAUCUGGGCACCAGAGCAACUCCCAGGCCCCGCUCUCAUCCCUGCCCUCACACCUGCAGCGCCCAGCCCUGUGUGCCCAGACUGCGGGCCAGGGGAUGGCACUUGUGGGCGUGGGGAGUCUGUGUCAGCAGCAGCGAGCAGGCUGCACGCAGCGCGGAAAGGGCUCAGGUGGUGUUUGUGGACACAAUGGCUCCGGCCGGGGCUGAGAGAAACGAGGGCCCACACGGGAACUGAUCCAACUGUGAAGGGCUGAAGGAGCUUCAGCCUCCCUCCUGACGGGAUCUGGACCCAAUGUGAAGAAGGACCCACAGGAGCCAUGGCCCACGGGCAUCGAGCAGUCACUUGGAGAGGGAAUAGCUGGGCUUCCUCACAUUUCCAUCCACAAGGAGAGCACAGGCGUGUUUCACCUACAUUUUCUCAGCGUGUGGAAGAGGUCUUGGACUGCUAAGAUCUGAGGCGUUUCCCGUUUGGUUUGGGCCUUGACAUGAAGCUGGCUCCUACCUUCUCUCCUCUGUGCUCCAGAGGAGCUGAUGUAAUUGAACCUGUGGAAGCAUUUUCAUCCUGCGUACCGUGUGGCCUUAGCAUGAGGCUGCUCUACCCCCCGAGUUCCCAGGGCCGCCAGCUGGAAGCUCGCUCUGGUUCCUGGGGGGAGGUGAAGAUCUCAGACUGCCACUGGGCACAGGGCGGGCUCCCGGAGCCCCAGCUUCCCCAAGCACCAAUGAGUGGGAAGGAGAAAAAUAGCAAAAUCUCACCGAG